AGUUUGCCCUACUAGCUCCUCGGACAGCUGUAAAGAAGAGUCUCUGGCUCUUUAGAAUACUGAUCCCAUUGAAGAUACCACGCUGCAUGUGUCCUUAGUAGUCAUGUCUCCUUAGGCUCCUCUUGGACAUUCUGAGCAUGUGAGACCUGAGGACUGCAAACAGCUAUAAGAGGCUCCAAAUUAAUCAUAUCUUUCCCUUUGAGAAUCUGGCCAAGCUCCAGCUAAUCUACUUGGAUGGGUUGCCAGCUAUCUGGAGAAAAAGGUGGAGAUGGGGCAUGAGGAUCCUCCAGGGGAAAAGCUCACUACCACUGGGCAACAACCCUAGGUCAGGAGGUUCUGUCAAGAUACUUUCCUGGUCCCAGAUAGGAAGAUAAAGUCUCAAAAACAACCACCACACGUCAAGCUCUUCAUUGUUCCUAUCUGCCAAAUCAUUAUACUUCCUACAAGCAGUGCAGAGAGCUGAGUCUUCAGCAGGUCCAAGAAAUUUGAACACACUGAAGGAAGUCAGCCUUCCCACCUGAAGAUCAACAUGCCUGGCACUCUAGCA
rnacentral:lncRNA from 1 species